rnacentral:tRNA from 2 species
AAAGAGAUGACAGAAAUAAAUGUAUCUGGCUUGAAACCAGAAAGAUGGAAGUUAAAAUCUUCCUCUCUUUU